rnacentral:tRNA from 1 species
GAGAGGUGUUUGAACACCAAGAACUGCUAAUUCUUGUCCCUGAAGUUAAAAUCUGCAGACCUCUCA